GUGCUCUCUUCAGCAGCACAUACAAUAAAAUUGGAACAAUACAGAUAAGAUUACCAUGGCCCCUGCACAAGGAUGAUACACAAAUUUGUUAGGUGUUCCAAAUUUUU